rnacentral:rRNA from 1 species
GAUGAACGCUGGCGGCGUGCCUAAUACAUGCAAGUCGAGCGAACGGACGAGAAGCUUGCUUCUCUGAUGUUAGCGGCGGACGGGUGAGUAACACGUGGAUAACCCACCUAUAAGACUGGGAUAACUUCGGGAAACCGGAGCUAAUACCGGAUAAUAUUUUGAACCGCAUGGUUCAAAAGUGAAAGACGGUCUUGCUGUCACUUAUAGAUGGAUCCGCGCUGCAUUAGCUAGUUGGUAAGGUAACGGCUUACCAAGGCAACGAUGCAUAGCCGACCUGAGAGGGUGAUCGGCCACACUGGAACUGAGACACGGUACAGACUCCUACGGGAGGCAGCAGUAGGGAAUCGUCCGCAAUGGGCGAAAGCCUGACGGAGCAACGCCGCGUGAGUGAUGAAGGUCUUCGGAUCGUAAAACUCUGUUAUUAGGGAAGAACAUAUGUGUAAGUAACUGUGCACAUCUUGACGGUACCUAAUCAGAAAGCCACGGCUAACUACGUG